rnacentral:rRNA from 1 species
AACAAACGCUGGCGGCGUGCCUAAUACAUGCAAGUCGAACGGGGAAAGCUUUCGUGUGUGUACUAGUGGCGCGCGGGUGAGGAACGUGUGGCUAAUCUGCCCUAGACUGGGGGUUAACUAGUCGUCAGAUUAGUUAAUAUCGCAUAAGAUCGCGAGAGCUGCGGCUUUUGAGGUCAUAGAUAUUUUGCUCUAAUAGGAGUCCGCGUAAGACUAGCUAGUUGGUGAGGUAACGGCUCACUAAGGCGACGAUGUUUAACUGGUCUGAGGGGAUGAGCAGUCACACUGAAUCUGAGACGCGGUAGAGUCUCCUACGGGAGAGAAGAGGAGAAAAUAGUGCAAUAUGGAGGAGACUGUGAUGCAGCGGCGCCGCGUGAGAUAUGAAGGCCUGCGGGGCGUAAAGCUCUGGCGUAGGAGAAUGACACAGUGACGGUACCCUGUAAAAAAGCAUCGGCUAACUUCGUG